GAUGAAGAACGUAGCGAAAUGCGAUAAGUAAUGCGAAUUGCAGAAUCCGUGAGUCAUCGAAUCUUUGAACGCAUAUUGCGCCCUUUGGUAUUCCGAAGGGCAUGCCUGUUCGAGCGUCAUUAUCACCCCUCAAGCCCCGGCUUGGUGUUGGACUUAGUUACGGAUCACCAUAACUGGCCUCAAAGAUAGUGGCGGCGCCCCAGAGGGAACCGGUACGAGGAGCUUCCAGUUAAGCAUGUACGCGGGACGACUUUGCAGGCGACGGGUCUUUUUCAUUUCUCAAGUGUUGACCUCGGAUCAGGUAGGAAUACCCGCUGAACUUAAGCAUAUCAAUAAGCGGAGGA
rnacentral:misc_RNA from 1 species